UCCGGUUGAUCCUGCCAGAGGCCGCUGCUAUCCGGCUGGGAACUAAGCCAUGCGAGUCAAGGGGCUUGUAUCCCUUCGGGGAUACAAGCACCGGCGGACGGCUCAGUAACACGUGGACAACCUGCCCUCGGGAGGGGGAUAACCCCGGGAAACUGGGGCUAAACCCCCAUAGGGGAUGGGUACUGGAAUGUCCCAUCUCCGAAAGUCCGCUUUGCGGAGCCCGAGGAUGGGUCUGCGGCGGAUUAGGUAGUUGGCGGGGUAACGGCCCGCCAAGCCGAAGAUCCGUACGGGCUGUGGGAGCAGGAGCCCGGAGAUGGACCCUGAGACACGGGUCCAGGCCCUACGGGGCGCAGCAGGCGUGAAACCUCCGCAAUGCGGGAAACCGCGACGGGGUCAGCCGGAGUGCUCGCGCAUCGCGCGGGCUGUCGGGGUGCCUAAAAAGCACCCCACAGCAAGGGCCGGGCAAGGCCGGUGGCAGCCGCCGCGGUAAUACCGGCGGCCCGAGUGGCGGCCACUUUUAUUGGGCCUAAAGCGUCCGUAGCCGGGCUGGUAAGUCCUCCGGGAAAUCUGGUCGCUCAACGAUCAGACUUCCGGAGGAUACUGCCAGCCUAGGGACCGGGAGAGGCCGGGGGUAUUCCCGGGGUAGGGGUGAAAUCCUGUAAUCCCGGGAGGACCACCUGUGGCGAAGGCGCCCGGCUGGAAC
rnacentral:rRNA from 1 species